rnacentral:misc_RNA from 1 species
CCUGCGCCCUGGCCUGAGUGGAACUCCUUUUUUAUAUUUUCUGCGCCAGCCGAAAUAUAAAAAAGAGUGGGAACGGAGGACAGAUACAGGC